CCUACGGAUGGCAGCAGUGGGGAAUAUUGCACAAUGGGGGAAACCCUGAUGCAGCGACGCCGCGUGAGUGAAGCAGUAAUUCGUUAUGUAACGCUCUAUCAGCAGGGAAGAAAAUGACGGUACCUGAGUAAGCAGCCCCGGCUAACUAGGUGCCAGCAGCCGCGGUAAUCCGUAGGGGGCAAGCGUUAUCCGGAUUUACUGGGUGUAAAGGGAGCGUAGACGGCAGUACAAGUCUGGAGUGAAAGGCGGGGGCUCAACCCCCGGACUGCUCUGGAAACUGUACGGCUGGAGUGCAGGAGAGGUAAGUGGAAUGCCUAGUGUAGCGGUGAAAUGCGUAGAUAUUAGGAGGAACACCAGUGGCGAAGGCGGCUUACUGGACUGUAACUGACGUUGAGGCUCGAAAGCGUGGGGAGCAAACAGGAUUAGAUACCCCUGUAGUC
rnacentral:rRNA from 1 species